rnacentral:rRNA from 1 species
AGAGUUUGAUCAUGGCUCAGGAUGAACGCUAGCUACAGGCUUAACACAUGCAAGUCGAGGGGCAGCAUGUUGGUUGCUUGCAACCAACGAUGGCGACCGGCGCACGGGUGAGUAACGCGUAUCCAACCUACCCUUGUCCAUCGGAUAACCCGUCGAAAGGCGGCCUAACACGAUAUGCGGUUCACGGCAGGCAUCUAAGGUGAACGAAAUGUGAAGGAGAAGGAUGGGGAUGCGUCUGAUUAGCUUGUUGGCGGGGUAACGCCACCAAGGCUACGAUCAGUAGGGGUUCUGAGAGGAAGGUCCCCCANAUUGGAACUGAGACACGGUCCAAACUCCUACGAGAGGCA